rnacentral:rRNA from 1 species
AAUCAACGCUGGCGGCGUGCCUCAGACAUGCAAGUCGAACGCGAAAGUCCCCUUCGGGGGACAAGUAGAGUGGCGCACGGGUGAGUAACACGUAGGUAAUCCACCUUCGGAUGGGGAAGUAACAACCGGAAACGGUUGCUAAUACCGCAUAAUGCAGCGGCACCUAAUGGUGACAGUUGUUAAAGCGGGGGGAUCGAAAGACCUCGCGUCUGAAGAGGAGCCUGCGGCGGAUUAGCAGUUGGUAAGGUAACGGCUUACCAAGGCGACGAUCCGUAGCCGCCUGAGAGGGGCGGUCGGCCACACUGACACUGACAUACGGGUCAGACUCCUACGGGGAGGCAGCAGUCGGGAAUUUUGGGCAAUGGGCGAAAGCCUCGACCCAGCAACGCCGCGUGAAGGAUG